UUUGUGCCGACACCCCCAACAAACUCCCAGGUGAUGCUGAUACUGUUGGUCUACCCAGUACCAGACUCCAGUAGUGGGUCCAGUUGUCUGCCUCUCCUGCGAAGUACUUUGGAGAAGCCCCUCCGAUCUUUCCCUGGUGAAUGUAUAUCCUUGAGCUACUCCCUCUCAGCCAAAGCCUAAACUUCCACAAAGGGGAAGCUGUCACCAGGGCUUUUGAGUUCCACCGGUUCAGAAGGGUAACCCGUUGAAUUUCUGUUUGCUUUCUAUCAUCCAAGAGGUAACCAUCAGAAAUCCCACCUUAAUCCAGUUUGAAUUAUAAAGGAAUUUACUGUGGAAAUGAAAAUUUCAGAUUUAGCUUAAGCUUCUACCACGCUUAAUCCAGUGGAUCAAAGUAUCACCAAAACCCCACGUUUCUUCAGUGUCUCCUCACAUCUUUGUGGAAUAUGAGCCUUAAACAAAGACUGGCUUCCCGUGUGUUUCGUAAGAGUUGCCAGCCAGCAUCUUGUUCCAUCCAGAUGAGAAAGAGAAAGUUUUACUGACCCUGUCACAAGUGCUAGAAAUGGCGUUCUCUUGCUUUAUUGUUCUCUCUUCAUUAAACCUUGACCUAAAGAUAAGAUUAUUGCUUGAAUCAAGAUAAUGGGGGUCUAACCCUGGAUUUAGGGUUAAAUUAAUCCCACACAAACUGCAGAGCUGCUAUAAAAUGGAGGAGGGAUAAAUUUGCCCAC